rnacentral:misc_RNA from 1 species
GAUAAUUAUUUUUCAGCACUGCACUGUCCUCUUCAUUUUCCAGGGUUCCACUCUUGCUUGUUGCUGCUGUUUUUCUUGCAAGAACCUCUAGGGCCCACUUCUUCUUAUCACUCCUUGUAUUGUCACAUUUUACAGUUAUUUCCUCCUUGGUAGACAAUUUCAAACCACUUGAGGUAGAUGUAGACGGCCUAUCAGUGCCUUUGAUUGGAAGUACAUUUCUGGUAAUAUCAGCCUUAGUGG